GACGAACGCUGGCGGCGUGCUUAACACAUGCAAGUCGUACGGUAAGGCCCUUUCGGGGGUACACGAGUGGCGAACGGGUGAGUAACACGUGAGUAACCUGCCCACAACUUUGGGAUAACGCUAGGAAACUGGUGCUAAUACUGGAUAUGUGCCCCUGCUGCAUGGUGGGGGUUGGAAAGCUCCGGCGGUUGUGGAUGGACUCGCGGCCUAUCAGCUUGUUGGUGGGGUAGUGGCCUACCAAGGCGGCGACGGGUAGCCGGCCUGAGAGGGUGACCGGCCACAUUGGGACUGAGAUACGGCCCAGACUCCUACGGGAGGCAGCAGUGGGGAAUAUUGCACAAUGGGCGCAAGCCUGAUGCAGCAACGCCGCGUGCGGGAUGACGGCCCUCGGGUUGUAAACCGCUUUCAGCAGGGACGAAGCUUUUUGUGACGGUACCUGCAGAAGAAGCACCGGCUAACUACGUG
rnacentral:rRNA from 1 species